rnacentral:rRNA from 1 species
CCUACGGGUGGCUGCAGUGGGGAAUUUUCCGCAAUGGGCGAAAGCCUGACGGAGCAAUACCGCGUGAGGGAAGAAGGCUCUUGGGUUGUAAACCUCUUUUGUCAGGGAAGAACACAAUGACGGUACCUGAAGAAUCAGCCUCGGCUAACUCCGUGCCAGCAGCCGCGGUAAUACGGAGGAGGCAAGCGUUAUCCGGAAUUAUUGGGCGUAAAGCGUCCGCAGGUGGCUGCUCAAGUCUGCUGUCAAAGGGUGGGGCUCAACCCCAAGAAGGCAGU